UCUGCGACGCACAUAGCAACCGUCUACCUGUUUCUCUACCGAUAACAUUUUAGACAAGUCGCACGACGAAAUGGACGGUCAGAAAAAGAAAGGUGGAGCAGAGAGGGAGAGAAUAAAAAAGAGAAAGGCCCUUGCCAAAGACGCAGCUAAAUGCUGCAAAAUAAACGACAUGUUCGCCAGUAAGGGACCAGGUGGAGAAGGAAGCAGCAGCAGCACUAGAGCUUCAGGUGCUCCUGCAGAACUGGAGAUGGUGGUCAGUUCAUAGUCAGACUCAGAGCAGGAACCUUCAGAGCAACCAGAGGUGCAGAGAGAGAGAGAGAGAGAGAGAGGUUCAGCGCCCAGUACAGGGAAAAUAGAAAGGGACAGCGAAUGCACUGAAAAUCAAUUUUAUUAAUUUGCCCAUUCUCAGUCAAAGGAUUUUGACUUAUUUUUUCAGUACCACCCAAAACAAACCCCCCAAAGAGUCAUUCCCAAUGUAUUCCACUAUAAAGAUGGCAUAAACAGAAAAUGGCCGACAUACAAUGAAGUAACUCACUCCUUGUUCUGCUCAGUAUGUCUUGCAUUCGCAAAACCUUCAGCCAGUGAUAGUGCAUUUGUCAAAGGAGGCAUGCAGACCUGGAAACAUGCCCAUCAGAGAGUACAGGAACAUGAACACUUUAAAAGUGCCUUCCUCACCAUCUUAAAUAAGCAUGCCCCACUCAAAA